rnacentral:misc_RNA from 1 species
CAUCCCGGCACUUUAUCAUGUAACUGGAGGUACAUGUAGCCAAAAGAAAUGGAACAGAACAAACAAUCAAAUUGAUAACAGUUUAGAAAACACAAAACAGAAACAUUUGUUCAGUCUUUAGCACUUAAAAAGUUUAUGAUUGCAGUUUCACUUUUAAACUUCUUAGUAACUGUCUUUUCCGGACCCCCUUUUCAUGCCUCUGUAAAUGUUGGUGAAAUUAUGUCUCAAAUUUGCUGAUGGGAACCGAUGUAAUUACUAAAAUUUGACAAGAAAGAGCAGGGAACAACACUGCAUUGUUUACAAGUAUAUUAAUUAAUCAAUAAAGAGAAAGAAAGCUUCAAAUAUUGGAUUGCAUGAUUAUAAUUUGAAUUACGAGUAAAAUUCCUGAACAACAAGAACAUUUUGUUGUGAGCAAUUUAUAUGAAUGGGAACCCAUGUAUGAUUUCCUCCAUCUUUGUAUUUAAGAGAAAACAUACCAAAGUUUACUAGGAUGAAGGAACAAUGAAGCAAAAAUAGCAUUUCUCUCUGUUCUAUAUGAAAGGACAAAAAAAAUGGCAAAAAUGAGCAAAAAAUGAGUCAACCAAGUUUGGUGUUCCUGUAUUAUAAUUCAUAAAAAAAGGCCUUCAAUGAAUUAAAUUUAUAUUUUUUUAGAGGUUGCCACCAUAUGCUUACCAAUUUUGACCAGACAUUCACUAUAACAAUUUGUUUCGUGA